rnacentral:lncRNA from 1 species
CUCCUGCCCCACAGUCUAUGGGGCAGACCACACACUGAACCCUCGUCUGGCCCAAUCUAUGGGGCAGCCCCACAUAUCUAUGGGGCAGCCCCACACACUGA